rnacentral:rRNA from 1 species
GAUGAACGCUGGCGGCGUGCCUAAUACAUGCAAGUCGAGCGAACGGACGAGAAGCUUGCUUCUUUGAUGUUAGCGGCGGACGGGUGAGUAACACGUGGAUAACCUACCUAUAAGACUGGGAUAACUUCGGGAAACCGUAGCUAAUACCGGAUAAUAUUUUGAACCGCAUGGUUCAAAAGUGAAAGACGGCCUUGCUGUCACUUAUAGAUGGAUCCGCGCUGUAUUAGCUAGUUGGUAAGGUAACGGCUUACCAAGGCAACGAUGCAUAGCCGACCUGAGAGGGUGAUCGGCCACACUGGAACUGAGACACGGUCCAGACUCCUACGGGAGGCAGCAGUAGGGAAUCUUCCGCAAUGGGCGAAAGCCUGACGGAGCAACGCCGCGUGAGUGAUGAAGGUCUUCGGAUCGUAAAACUCUGUUAUUAGGGAAGAACAUAUGUGUAAGUAACUGUGCACAUCUUGACGGUACCUAAUCAGAAAGCCACGGCUAACUACGUG